GACGAACGCUGGCGGCGUGCUUAACACAUGCAAGUCGAACGGAAAGGCCUCUUUCGGGGGGUACUCGAGUGGCGAACGGGUGAGUAACACGUGAGUAACCUGCCCUUGACUUUGGGAUAACUUCAGGAAACUGGGGCUAAUACCGGAAAGGAGCUCCUGCUGCAGGGGGGGGGUUGGAAAGUUUCGGCGGUUGGGGAUGGACUCGCGGCUUAUCAGCUUGUUGGUGGGGUAGUGGCUUACCAAGGCUUUGACGGGUAGCCGGCCUGAGAGGGUGACCGGCCACAUUGGGACUGAGAUACGGCCCAGACUCCUACGGGAGGCAGCAGUGGGGAAUAUUGCACAAUGGGUGGAAGCCUGAUGCAGCAACGCCGUGUGCGGGAUGACGGCCUUCGGGUUGUAAACCGCUUUCGCUCAUGACGAAGCUUUGUGUGACGGUAGUGGGUAAAGAAGCACCGGCUAACUACGUG
rnacentral:rRNA from 1 species